CCUACGGUGGGCAGCAGUGGGGAAUAUUGCACAAUGUGGGAAACCCUGAUGCAGCGACGCCGCGUGAGUGAAGAAGUAUUUCGGUAUGUAAAGCUCUAUCAGCAGGGAAGAAAAUGACGGUACCUGAUUAAGAAGCCCCGGCUAACUACGUGCCAGCAGCCGCGGUACUACGUAGGGGGCAAGCGUUAUCCGGAUUUACUGGGUGUAAAGGGAGCGUAGACGGCAGCACAAGUCUGGAGUGAAAUGCCGGGGCUUAACCCCGGAACUGCUUUGGAAACUGUGCAGCUAGAGGGCAGGAGAGGUAAGUGGAAUUCCUAGUGUAGCGGUGAAAUGCGGAGAUAUUAGGAGGAACACCAGUGGCGAAGGCGGCUUACUGGACUGUAACUGACGUUGAGGCUCGAAAGCGUGGGGAGCAAACAGGAUUAGAUACCCCUGUAGUC
rnacentral:rRNA from 1 species